rnacentral:rRNA from 1 species
AUUGAACGCUGGCGGCAGGCCUAACCCAUGCAAGUCGAGCGGAGCGGCGGACGGGUGCGUAAUGCCUAGGAAUCUGCCUGGUAGUGGGGGAUAACGUCCGGAAACGGGCGCUAAUACCGCAUACUAUCAGAUGAGCCUAGGUCGGAUUAGCUAGUUGGUGGGGUAAAGGCCUACCCAGGCGACGAUCCGUAACUGGUCUGAGAGGAUGAUCAGUCACAAUGCAACUGAGACACGGUCCAGACGCCUACGGGAGGCAGCAGUGGGGAAUAUUGGACAAUGGGCGAAAGCCUGUUCCAGCCAUGCAGGGUGUGUGAAGAAGGUCUUCGGAUUGUAAAGCAGUUGAAGUUGUAAGGCGUUACCAACAGAAUAAGCACCGGCUAACUUCGUGCCAGCCGCCGCGGUAAUUC